rnacentral:rRNA from 1 species
AACGAACGCUGGCGGCAGGCUUAACACAUGCAAGUCGAACGCCCCGCAAGGGGAGUGGCAGACGGGUGAGUACCGCGUGGGAACAUACCCUUUUCUACGGAAUAGCUCUGGGAAACUGGAAUUAAUACCGUAUACGCCCUACGGGGGAAAGAUUUAUCGGGGAAGGAUUGGCCCGCGUUGGAUUAGCUAGUUGGUGGGGUAAAGGCCUACCAAGGCGACGAUCCAUAGCUGGUCUGAGAGGAUGAUCAGCCACAUUGGGACUGAGACACGGCCCAAACUCCUACGGGAGGCAGCAGUGGGGAAUAUUGGACAAUGGGCGCAAGCCUGAUCCAGCCAUGCCGCGUGAGUGAUGAAGGCCUUAGGGUUGUAAAGCUCUUUCACCGAUGAAGAUAAUGACGGUAGUCGGAGAAGAAGCCCCGGCUAACUUCGU